rnacentral:lncRNA from 1 species
UCUUUGAAAAAUAACUGUUAAAUUUUUUCCUUUUUUUUUCUUUUGUUUUGGAUUUUUUCGUUUCCGUUUUGGUUGCCGCCAGUCGCUAGACCCUAUCGAUCGGCGUCGCAGGGGCCUGCUCCUCCGACCAGGGUGGUGGAUGGCUGGGGGGAGGGCUUUCUCGCCAGAAACACGGGGAGCAAGAGCUCCUUUGUUCUAUAAAGAAAACAAAAGAGGAAG